UCAUGUAGAAUAAAGUUAUGCAAAUUUGUCAAUGAUAAUAAGUCAUUCUUGCAGACAGCUCACCAGAUAACUUCGUAUUUAAAUCUUCUCCAAGUGGUGUUUUGUCUUUACAAGCUUCCAGCUUUGGGACAGUUGGUGUCAGGUCUUACAGUUGCCUAUGCUGGAUUAUGCUUGUUUUGCCUUUAUAUCUUAGCCGAGAACAGUCAGUGCAUGUUUGUCUUGAUUUCUGAGGAGAACGAAUCAUCUAGCCGAGGAAGAUGCUGCAGUGCAAGAUACUCUGUUGUAGCUUAUGUUUUCUGUAACCUCCAUGUACAAUGAAUCUUUGUAUAUUUUUGUGUACAUAUUGUUAACCAGGAGAUACAAUUUUACGAUGCAAAUUGUCGAAUAAUUGACACCAUUCCUGAAUAAA